ACCAUAAAAGGACGGCGCGAAAUCGAUUUAACCGCAGUCACGAUUCACGACAUACGGACGUCUGGCUCGGAUCAAAGUGACUUUUUGUACAUCACUACGAGCAGGUAUACUAAGUGCUCCCCACGGUGCUAUUGACGCGGUUGACACCAAUUAGACGGCGGCAACGAAAAGUACAAGGAGCAAAAGGACAACGAAUAUUAGAACCGUAGUGCAGUAUCUUAAACUCUUAAUCAACACACUUCAAAGGUAGGUUAGGUUAGGUGUUGAAGCUAG